AUGGAAGGACGGAUGCUUCUUUCUCUUCACAAAUACCUCAUGGACGUCGUCUUUGGGAAAGCCGGAGGGGGCGGCUGGGGCAGGGCCUGUCCCUGGGCCAGGGUGGAUGGAAGCGGGUGGGCGGGGCUGAGAGAGGGUGUCAGGGACAGGGGUGAAGAGCCCCAAACUCCCCGCCCCCCCAAUCAACUGAAAAGCUUUAAAAAAAAAAGACAGGAAAAAAAAGGAGUAAGAGCAAAAAGAAUGGACGAAGGAAAACUAACAACUUUCGGGUGGUUUGAUUCCUCCUUUGAUUUCUUUUUCUGUUCUUUUCUGUCCCCUCUCCUGUCUCCUUCUUUCUCUCCCUUCCCUCUUCUUCCUCUUCCUUUGCUCUUCUCUCAUCUCUCUCAACCUCUUUCUUUCUGUGUCUCUCCUCAAACCAAAGUGUCGCUGUGAAGGACGCGAGCCAUUGAAGUUUGAGUGGAGCCCAGCAGCCGCUGGGCCGGAGCAGAGGGAGGGGAGAGCCCGCUGCAGCUGGGCGGCUUCCACUUUCUGCUGGACACUCCGGGGAGAGCAAAACGGAGCCCCAGGCCUCAGCGAUCUCUUUUUUUCUUGUCUCCCUUCUCCCACCCGGGAAAUGAAACUGUUGGGCUGGGCCAUGGAGGCAGCAGAGACUCGGCCGUUGCAGGGACCUCCGGGUGCCUUCUCUGGGCAGCGGUGGAGUGGCCGCCCCCCCCAACCCUGGCACCGAUGGGGCCUGGCACCGUGUCGACCCAUCCUCGCCGGAAUGUAAGCAUCUCUGCCAAACCGACUCCCUGCCCUUACCCUACCUCCGAGUUUGUCCAUGUUUAUUUCCUGAAGAGAGAAGGGAUUGGCGAGAGGGCCUGGGCCCCAGCCCAAGGGUGGAGAGGGGGCCAAGGGCUCCUGACCAGAUAGGAAGGACAUUUGAGCAGAGCAAAAUGAAAGGAAUUACAACCAAAAACCCCCUCCGAGAAGACAGGCAGCAUGGAAGGCAUGGUGGAGAUGACUCAAACAAAAACUAUGAUUCUAGACCAAAAAAACAACAAAAAACAAAAAACAAAAAAAAAAAGAAAAUCCAGGACUCACCAUCACCCACUUGAUCCUGCUUCCUCCCCGUCAAGUCCCACCACCUGGGACCUCUCCCACCCCAGGGUGGGGGAGUGGGGCAAAGAGCAGAGGAGGAAGCAGGGGGCAGGGAUGGGGCAGAUGCCCUGACAUUGGUGGAGGGACCCCCGUGCAGCCGGGGGUACUGGGGACCCUCCCCAUUCAACCCCCACAACUGGGAAAAGUAAAGCAAGAAAAAAGAAAAUUCCUGGGAGGGGGAAAAAAUAACCAAAUCCCAAGCUUUAACUACAGCUGUGAAACCAAAUAUUGGGAGGGGGGUGGGAGGGAGGGAGGGGCAGGUGAGCCCCAGGUCUCCCCCCUGGGCCCCCCUCCCCCGAGGACUCGAGAUAAGGCACCAAAUACCUCAUAGAACUUUAAUAUUAAAAAAAGGAAACCAAAUAUCGUUGGCUGGGGGCCAGCCAGGGCAAGGGGCUGGGGGGCUGGAGGGAGCCAGGGUUGGGAAGGUGAUGGGGGAAUUCACGCCCCCCACCCCCCUCUGCCCCUUCCACUCCGGUCCCCCUCGACUCCGGGAAACAAAACUAUCUCAUCGUUUUUAUUUUGUGGUCUGUACAGAGCCUGUGUCCGUGUGUCUGUGUGUGAGCGAGAGAGUUGGAGGGCUGGGGAGCUUUCUGUGGGGGACGGGGAGGGAAAAACCCCAGGCCAGGCUCUGGGCUAGGUUAGGUGUCUAAGGUGGGGGGCCAGGGGCCUGGGCUAGAAAGAGAGGCGAGAGGAGUGGAUUGGAGCAAGGGGGAGCCCUCUGAAUUUCUCUUCUCCCCUACCCUGACCUCCUGCAUAAGGGAGGGACAGAGACUGGGUCUACCCUAAUGGUGGGCCUUUUGAUUGUGCCAAAAAAAAAAAAAAAUGCCAGUAACUAAACCACCUCUCUCUGUUCUCUCUGGGGGGUGGGGUUGGGAUGUGUGUGGGGGUGGGUUGCGAUGGGGGAACCCAGGCCCUUGUAGGAGUUGGGCUAAGAUCAGGAGGAGGGGAAGGAUGUGAGUUUUCCACCCACCUCCUCCCUGGGGAAGGCCAAGAGAGGGCCUUCAAACCCUGGGAAGAUACGGUGAGGCACUGGCCAAGUUGGGGGUGACCUCUGAACCUGCCUAGUUUUUUUCACCCACCCAAACCCCAGGGUGCCUCUCUCUUCCUCUAGCCCAGGGUAGGGGGAACUGAGUGAGAGAGCGAGUGAGACCGAGUGAGCAAGAUUGAGACACGCGGGCCCCCACUGGUCUCUGAGUGGGAAAGGCAAGUGCGAGAGAUAAAGGCCUCCAAGAGAAAAAAGAAACAAACCAAAGAUUUAACCAUUAAAAAAAAAAAAAAAACCCACAGACAACUCCGCUACCUUUUUAUAUGUUGGAAAAAAAAAGUGAAAAAAAUUUAAAAAUAAAAAUUAAAAAAAAUACACAAAAAACUCCAAGCCGCAGGUCCUUCGUGCGGUUUGAACUUUGACCUCAGCAGUCUCCAAAGCAAGAUGACGAUGACGACAAAGGCGGAAUAAAAAGAAAAAAUAAUGUAUAUUUUUAAGUAUUUGUCCUUGAGAUGUUAGCUCCUUGUUAAACAAACAAAAAAAGGAGAGAAAAAUUCAGAGAGCAGUGUUGCUGGGACGGAGACAACUAUUUACUAUGUCUGUGACCCCUCCCCUUUGCCUCCCUCCCCUCCUUCUCCUCUUUCCUCUCCUCUACCCCUGCUGUCCCUCCCCCAACCUGUCCCCCAAGCCCAGGGGCUCAGUAUUUAUUUAUUUAUAUAAUCGCAGGGUGACUGGGGGCCUCUUGACAACUCACAGAGGGCCUUUGGAUCACGGUGGGGUGGGGAAAGGGCAGGGAAUCUUUGGGAAAAGCAGGGGCCUGAUCUUUGAUCAACUCCUUUCUGGCCUCUUGUCCCACUGCUGCCACCAUCACCUCCCAAAUCCAGGGCUGCACUAGGGUAAGGUGACCACCCUCGCUUGGAAAGGUCUGCUUGGCUCAGCCUUUUCUGGUGUGGGGUGUCUCACCUACUCACUUGAAGGACCAGGUUGGAAUGAGGGUGAGGGGACUCGGAGGGGGAGGCAAAUAGUGGGCAAGGGAGACCCAAGAAGUGGCAUCCAGAAAUGGAGUAGGCCCCAGAGUAGACCUGCCUUUCCUACAUUCUCACCAAGUUAGCCCCGCUUUCGGUUCUGACCCGUGUUGGUAGCCCUGCCCUUCCCACCCUAUACCCUCUCCCUGUCUCUUCUCGUGGUAGCGGGUUAGCGUUUCAGUGUUCUUAACUCCAAUCUGCUUGUUCAUUGUACAAUGUGCUUCUUUUAAGGCCCCAUUUUUGUAACUUGAGUGUGUCAUUCAUCUGAACAACAAACAUCAAAAAAUAAAAAAUUAAAAACUGUACAGAGAGAAAUGA